rnacentral:rRNA from 1 species
GACGAACGCUGGCGGCGCGCCUAACACAUGCAAGUCGAACGAGCGAGAGAGAGCUUGCUUUCUUGAGCGAGUGGCGAACGGGUGAGUAACGCGUGAGGAACCUGCCUCAAAGAGGGGGACAACAGUUGGAAACGACUGCUAAUACCGCAUAAGCCCACGGUGCCGCAUGGCACAGAGGGAAAAGGAGCAAUCCGCUUUGAGAUGGCCUCGCGUCCGAUUAGCUAGUUGGUGAGGUAACGGCCCACCAAGGCGACGAUCGGUAGCCGGACUGAGAGGUUGAACGGCCACAUUGGGACUGAGACACGGCCCAGACUCCUACGGGAGGCAGCAGUGGGGAAUAUUGCACAAUGGGGGAAACCCUGAUGCAGCGACGCCGCGUGGAGGAAGAAGGUCUUCGGAUUGCAAACUCCUGUUGUUGGGGAAGAUAAUGACGGUACCCAACAAGGAAGUGACGGCUAACUACGUG